GGCGAACGCUGGCGGCGGGCUUAACACAUGCAAGUCGAACGGAAAGGCACUACUUUUGUGGGGUGAUCGAGUGGCGAACGGGUGAGUAACACGUGAAUAACCUGCCCUAGAUUUUGGGAUAACUUCAGGAAACGAGGGCUAAUCCCGGAUAGGAGCCCCUGUACGGUGGAGAGGGGUGGAAAGUCUCAGCGGGUGGGGAUGGAUGCGCGGCUGACGAACUAGUUGGUGGGGGGGUGGCUUACCCACGAUUGGACCGGUAGGCGGCCGGAGAGGGGGGCCGGCCACAAUAGUCCUGAGAUACGGCCCAGACUCCUACAUGAGGCAGCGGUGGGGAAUAUUACACAGUGAGCGGGAGCCUGAUGCGGCAACGCCGCGGUUGUGAUGACGGCCUUCGGGGUGUAAACCGCUUUCGCCUGUUACGAAGCGUGAGUGACGGUAAUGAAUAAAGAAGCACCGGCUAACUACGUG
rnacentral:rRNA from 1 species